rnacentral:rRNA from 1 species
UUAAGCGACUAAGCGUACACGGUGGAUGCCCUGGCAGUCAGAGGCGAUGAAGGACGUGCUAAUCUGCGAAAAGCGUCGGUAAGGUGAUAUGAACCGUUAUAGCCGGCGAUGUCCGAAUGGGGAAACCCAGUGCAAUUCGUUGCACUAUCGUUAACUGAAUACAUAGGUUAACGAGGCGAACCGGGGGAACUGAAACAUCUAAGUACCCCGAGGAAAAGAAAUCAACCGAGAUUCCCCCAGUAGCGGCGAGCGAACGGGGAGCAGCCCAGAGUCUGAAUCAGCUUGUGUGUUAGUGGAACGGUCUGGAAAGUCCGACGGUACAGGGUGAUAGUCCCGUACACCAAAAUGCACAGGUUGUGAACUCGAAGAGUAGGGCGGGACACGUGGUAUCCUGUCUGAAUAUGGGGGGACCAUCCUCCAAGGCUAAAUACUCCUGACUGACCGAUAGUGAACCAGUACCGUGAGGGAAAGGCGAAAAGAACCCCGGCGAGGGGAGUGAAAAAGAACCUGAAACCGUGUACGUACAAGCAGUGGGAGCACCUUUAUGGUGUGACUGCGUACCUUUUGUAUAAUGGGUCAGCGACUUAUAUUCUGUAGCAAGGUUAACCGUAUAGGGGAGCCGCAGGGAAACCGAGUCUUAACUGGGCGUUAAGUUGCAGGGUAUAGACCCGAAACCCGGUGAUCUAGCCAUGGGCAGGUUGAAGGUUGGGUAACACUAACUGGAGGACCGAACCGACUAAUGUUGAAAAAUUAGCGGAUGACUUGUGGCUGGGGGUGAAAGGCCAAUCAAACCGGGAGAUAGCUGGUUCUCCCCGAAAGCUAUUUAGGUAGCGCCUCGUGAAYUCAUCUUCGGGGGUAGAGCACUGUUUCGGCUAGGGGGUCAUCCCGACUUACCAACCCGAUGCAAACUACGAAUACCGAAGAAUGUUAUCACGGGAGACACACGGCGGGUGCUAACGUCCGUCGUGAAGAGGGAAACAACCCAGACCGCCAGCUAAGGUCCCAAAGUCAUGGUUAAGUGGGAAACGAUGUGGGAAGGCACAGACAGCCAGGAUGUUGGCUUAGAAGCAGCCAUCAUUUAAAGAAAGCGUAAUAGCUCACUGGUCGAGUCGGCCUGCGCGGAAGAUGUAACGGGGCUAAACCAUGCACCGAAGCUGCGGCAGCGACACUAUGUGUUGUUGGGUAGGGGAGCGUUCUGUAAGCCUGCGAAGGUGACCUGUGAGGGUUGCUGGAGGUAUCAGAAGUGCGAAUGCUGACAUAAGUAACGAUAAAGCGGGUGAAAAGCCCGCUCGCCGGAAGACCAAGGGUUCCUGUCCAACGUUAAUCGGGGCAGGGUGAGUCGACCCCUAAGGCGAGGCCGAAAGGCGUAGUCGAUGGGAAACAGGUUAAUAUUCCUGUACUUGGUGUUACUGCGAAGGGGGGACGGAGAAGGCUAUGUUAGCCGGGCGACGGUUGUCCCGGUUUAAGCAUGUAGGCGGAGGUUCCAGGUAAAUCCGGUACCUUUUAACGCUGAGGUGUGAUGACGAGGCACUACGGUGCUGAAGUAACAAAUGCCCUGCUUCCAGGAAAAGCCUCUAAGCAUCAGGUAACAUUAAAUCGUACCCCAAACCGACACAGGUGGUCAGGUAGAGAAUACCAAGGCGCUUGAGAGAACUCGGGUGAAGGAACUAGGCAAAAUGGUGCCGUAACUUCGGGAGAAGGCACGCUGGUGUGUAGGUGAAGUCCCUGCGGAUGGAGCUGAGACCAGUCGAAGAUACCAGCUGGCUGCAACUGUUUAUUAAAAACACAGCACUGUGCAAACACGAAAGUGGACGUAUACGGUGUGACGCCUGCCCGGUGCCGGAAGGUUAAUUGAUGGGGUUAUCCGUAAGGAGAAGCUCUUGAUCGAAGCCCCGGUAAACGGCGGCCGUAACUAUAACGGUCCUAAGGUAGCGAAAUUCCUUGUCGGGUAAGUUCCGACCUGCACGAAUGGCGUAAUGAUGGCCAGGCUGUCUCCACCCGAGACUCAGUGAAAUUGAACUCGCUGUGAAGAUGCAGUGUACCCGCGGCAAGACGGAAAGACCCCGUGAACCUUUACUAUAGCUUGACACUGAACAUUGAGCCUUGAUGUGUAGGAUAGGUGGGAGGCUUUGAAGCGUGGACGCCAGUCUGCGUGGAGCCAACCUUGAAAUACCACCCUUUAAUGUUUGAUGUUCUAACGUWGGCCCCUWAUCGGGGUUGCGGACAGUGUCUGGUGGGUAGUUUGACUGGGGCGGUCUCCUCCCAAAGAGUAACGGAGGAGCACGAAGGUUAGCUAAUCCUGGUCGGACAUCAGGAGGUUAGUGCAAUGGCAUAAGCUAGCUUGACUGCGAGCGUGACGGCGCGAGCAGGUGCGAAAGCAGGUCAUAGUGAUCCGGUGGUUCUGAAUGGAAGGGCCAUCGCUCAACGGAUAAAAGGUACUCCGGGGAUAACAGGCUGAUACCGCCCAAGAGUUCAUAUCGACGGCGGUGUUUGGCACCUCGAUGUCGGCUCAUCACAUCCUGGGGCUGAAGUAGGUCCCAAGGGUAUGGCUGUUCGCCAUUUAAAGUGGUACGCGAGCUGGGUUUAGAACGUCGUGAGACAGUUCGGUCCCUAUCUGCCGUGGGCGCUGGAGAAUUGAGGGGGGCUGCUCCUAGUACGAGAGGACCGGAGUGGACGCAUCACUGGUGUUCGGGUUGUCAUGCCAAUGGCACUGCCCGGUAGCUAAAUGCGGAAGAGAUAAGUGCUGAAAGCAUCUAAGCACGAAACUUGCCCCGAGAUGAGUUCUCCCUGAGACUWUAAGUCUCCUGAAGGAACGUUGAAGACGACGACGUUGAUAGGCCGGGUGUGUAAGCGCAGCGAUGCGUUGAGCUAACCGGUACUAAUGAACCGUGAGGCUUAACCU